rfam:Picea glauca, whole genome shotgun sequence.
GUAACGGUGUCUUUAGACGCCACCUUCUAUCUUAGAAAAAAUAUUU